rnacentral:tRNA from 1 species
GCCUGGGUGGCUGAGUCAGUUAAGCGUCUGACUUCAGCGCACAGUCUGUGGGUUCGAGCCCCGUGUCAGGCU